UACGUAGGGUGCGAGCGUUGUCCGGAAUUACUGGGCGUAAAGAGCGUGUAGGCGGCUCGGAAAGUCUGGUGUGAAAUCUUGAGGCUCAACCUUAAGCGGUCACUGGAUACUAUCGAGCUUGAGUCCGGAAGAGGAGAUCGGAAUUCCUGGUGUAGCGGUGAAAUGCGCAGAUAUCAGGAGGAACACCGGUGGCGAAGGCGGGUCUCUGGGCCGAUACUGACGCUGAGGAGCGAAAGCGUGGGGAGCGAACAGG
rnacentral:rRNA from 1 species